rnacentral:tRNA from 1 species
UUUAAUAUGGCAGAUUAAGUGUAUUAGAUUUAAACUCUAAAAAUAAAGAAUUCCUUUUAUUAAAA